rnacentral:rRNA from 1 species
UACGUAGGGUGCUAGCGUUGUCCGGAAUCAUUGGGCGUAAAGGGUACGUAGGUGGAUAAUCAAGUUAGGAGUGAAAUCCUAUAGCUCAACUAUAAUAAGCUUUUAAAACUGUUUAUCUUGAGGUAUGGAAGGGAGAGUGGAAUUCGUAGUGUAGCGGUGAAAUGCUCAGAUAUUAGGAAGAAUACCGGUGGCGAAGGCAACUUUCUGCCCAUAAACUGACACUGAGGUACGAAAGCGUGGGUAGCAAACAGG